rnacentral:rRNA from 1 species
UACGUAGGGUGCGAGCGUUAAUCGGAAUUACUGGGCGUAAAGCGUGCGCAGGCGGUUUUAUAAGCCAGAUGUGAAAGCCCCGGGCUCAACCUGGGAAUGGCAUUUGGGACUGUAAGGCUGGAGUAUGGCAGAGGAGACUAGAAUUCCUGGUGUAGCAGUGAAAUGCGUAGAUAUCAGGAGGAAUACCGAUGGCGAAGGCAGGUCUCUGGGCCACUACUGACGCUGAGAAGCGAAAGCAUGGGGAGCGAACAGG